UCAUGAAGUUCCGAUAACAACAGCACGCUCCUUCGGGA
rnacentral:rRNA from 1 species